GUACUUGCUUUGGCAGCACAUAGACUAAAAUUGAAACAAUACAGAGAAGAUUAGCAUGGUCCCUGAGCAAGGAUGGCAUACAAAUUCAUGAAGUGUUCAAUAUAUAG